GGGCCAGCGCCGCGGUAAUACCGGCAGCCCGAGUGAUGACCGAUCUUAUUGGGCCUAAAGCGUCCGUAGCUGGCUACGCAAGUCCGUCGGGAAAUCCACUCGCUCAACGAGUGGCCGUCCGGUGGAGACUCCACACCUUGGGACCGGAAGGCUCGAAGGGUACGGCCGGGGUAGGAGUGAAAUCCUGUAAUCCCGUCCGGACCACCGAUGGCGAAAGCACUUCGAGAAAACGGAUCCGACAGUGAGGGACGAAAGCUAAGAUCGCGAACCGGAUUAGAAACCCUGGUAGUCC
rnacentral:rRNA from 1 species